UGAGGAAUAUUGCUCAAUGGGCGAAAGCCUGAAGCAGCAACGCCGCGUGCGCGAUGAAGGUCUUCGGAUCGUAAAGCGCUUUUGAGAGGGACGAGAUAGGACGGCACCUCUUGAAUAAGUCACGGCUAACUACGUGCCAGCAGCCGCGGUAAAACGUAGGAGGCAAGCGUUAUCCGGAUUCACUGGGCGUAAAGCGCGUGCAGGUGGCUUCGUAAGUUGGACGUUAAAUCUUUCGGCCUAACCGGGAGGUGUCGUUCAAUACUGCGGGGCUUGAGGGUAGAAGAGGGGGGUGGAAUUGCCGGUGUAGUGGUGAAAUGCGUAGAUAUCGGCAGGAACACCUGUGGCGAAAGCGGCCCCCUGGUCUGCUCCUGACACUCAGACGCGAAAGCUAGGGGAGUGAACG
rnacentral:rRNA from 1 species